rnacentral:sRNA from 1 species
CUGGAAUGUUGUGUUUCUGGCUAUCCUCCGCCAAGUUUUACCUGGUUACGAGGCGAGGAAGUCAUCCAACUCAGGUCUAAAAAGUAUUCUUUAUUGGGUGGAAGCAACUUGCUUAUUUCCAAUGUGACAGAUGAUGACAGUGGAAUGUAUACCUGUGUUGUCACAUAUAAAAAUGAGAAUAUUAGUGCCUCUGCAGAGCUCACAGUCUUGGUAAUCAUCGAUAAAGUAUUGGUGGACACCUUUUGGGUACAAGGAUUGCACUAGGUUCUCGGAAGACUACAGAAACAUCUGAAACCUGGCUUCAGUGGGCUUCAUAUAAUUACAAAUUCAUAAAUUCAUAAAAUACUGUCUGAAUAAACUUUUCUUUAAA